UUCCCGGUUUGAUCUCUCCGGGAGGUCAACCGCUUUUUAGGAUCCGAUUAAGCCAUGCGAGGCGAAUGUGGGUUUCCCGCAUGCCGAACUGCUCAGUAACACGUAGUUAAUCUACCCUUAAGUGAGGGAUAAACCCCGGGAAACUGGGGCUAAUACCUCAUAGAUGAAAAUGUCUGGAACGCUUUUCAUCGAAAGCUUCGGCGCUUAAGGAUGAGACUGCGGCGAAUUAGGUUGUUGUGGGUGUAAUGUACCUACAAGCCGAUAAUUCGUACGGGCGUUGGGAGACGUAGCCCGGAGAUGUGCUCUGAGAUAUGAGCACAGGCCCUACGGGGCGCAGCAGGCGCGAAACCUUUACAAUGCGUGCAAGCGCGAUAAGGGGAUCCUAAGUGCCUAUGUACACCAUAGGCUUUUCUUAAGUCUAAACAGCUUAAGGAAUAAGUGGUGGGUAAGACGGGUGCCAGCCGCCGCGGUAAUACCCGCGCCACAAGUGGUGACCACUAUUAUUGGGUCUAAAGCGUCCGUAGCUGGUUUGGUAAGUCUUUGGUGAAAUCCGAUAGUUGACUGUCGGGUGUGCUGAAGAUACUGCCAGACUCGAGACCGGGAGAGGUUGAGGGUACUUUAGGGGUAGGGGUAAAAUCCGUUAAUCCCUAAAGGACCACCUGUGGCGAAACCCCUUUCUUUUAAAAGAAAGGGUUUACGGAAAAACUUUCCAUCCACAAAAGGCGCUCAACUGGAACGGUUCUGACAGUGAGGGACGAAAGCUAGGGGAGCGAUCGGGAUUAGAUACCCCGGUAGUCCUAGCCGUAAACGAUGCCCACUUUGUGUCACAUAUUCUAUAGUGAAUAUGUGGUGCCGGAGCGAAGGCGUUAAGUGGGCCACCUGGGGAGUACGGUCGCAAGACUGAAACUUAAGGGAAUUGGCGGGGGAGCACCACAAGGGGUGCGGCCUGCGGUUUAAUUGGAGCAACGCCGGAAAU
rnacentral:rRNA from 1 species